UACGUAGGGGGCGAGCGUUGUCCGGAAUCAUUGGGCGUAAAGCGCGUGUAGGCGGCCCGGUAAGUCCGCUGUGAAAGUCCAGGGCUCAACCCUGGGAUGCCGGUGGAUACUGUCGGGCUCGAGUCCGGAAGAGGCGAGUGGAAUUCCUGGUGUAGCGGUGAAAUGCGCAGAUAUCAGGAGGAACACCAAUGGCGAAGGCAGCUCGCUGGGACGUGACUGACGCUGAGACGCGAAAGCGUGGGGAGCAAA
rnacentral:rRNA from 1 species